UACGGAGGAUGCAAGCGUUAUCCGGAAUUAUUGGGCGUAAAGCGUCCGCAGGUGGUUAUCCAAGUCUGCUGUUAAAGCGCGAGGCUUAACUUCGUACAGGCAGUGGAAACUGGGUGACUGGAGUAUGGUAGGGGUAGCGGGAAUUCCCAGUGUAGCGGUGAAAUGCGUAGAUAUUGGGAAGGACACCAGCGGCGAAAGCGCGCUACUGGGCCAUUACUGACACUCAUGGACGAAAGCUAGGGGAGCGAAAGGG
rnacentral:rRNA from 1 species